CCUACGGGAGGCUGCAGUGAGGAAUAUUGGUCAAUGGGCGCGAGCCUGAACCAGCCAAGUAGCGUGAAGGAUGACUGCCCUACGGGUUGUAAACCUCUUUUGUAAGGGAAUAAAGUGAGGCACGUGUGCCUAUUUGUGUGUACUUUAUGAAUAAGGAUCGGCUAACUCCGUGCCAGCAGCCGCGGUAAUACGGAGGAUCCGAGCGUUAUCCGGAGUUAUUGGGUUUAAGGGGAGCGUAGAUGGGUUGUUAAGUCAGUUGUGAAAGUCUGCGGCUCAACCGUAAAAUUGCAGUUGAAACUGGCAGUCUUGAGUACAGGUGAGGUAGGCGGAAUGCGUGGUGUAGCGGUGAAAUGCUUAGAUAUCACGAAGAACUCCGAUUGCGAAGGCAGCUUACUAGACUGCCACUGACAUUGAUGCUCGAAAGCGUGGGUAUCGAACAGGAUUAGAUACCCUUGUAGUC
rnacentral:rRNA from 1 species